UAAUACAUUCAUAUAGCAAAAUUAUGAAAGUGGUACAAAAAUGGCAAUUUCUCUUAUCUAUUGAUGGGUAACGAGCUGUCUCAACAUUUGGUGGCUUAAAACAGCCAUUUUAUUUUGCGCAUGGUUUUGUGGGACAGGAAUUCAGGAAGGGCUCAGUGGGUAAUUUCUGUUUGAUUCACUUGGGGUCCACUAGGGCAACAGGAUCCACUUCCAAGAUGGCGUCUUCACUCACAUAUCUGGAACCUCGGUGCUCCUUGUCCUUCACGCUCCAUUUGGUGCCUUAUUUUCCAGGCCCUCUUCCCUCAGGUAGCCUGGGCUUUCUCACAGCAUGGUGGCAUCAGGGUUGUAGGAUUUCUUACAAGGCACUGACUUGUAGAAAGUUUUCAGGAGCUCCGAAUGAGGAGAUUCAAGGGCUCUGACGACCAACCGUCGGCUGUCCCAGUACGUCACUUCUUCCACAUUCUAAUGGUCAGAGUAGUCACUAAGGCCAGUCCAGGUUCGCGGAAGGAAAAUUAGAUUCCACGUCUCUAUGGGAGGACUAGCCACACUAAGCCACUGCGCUGGUUUAGAACUGUCUGAAGUCCCUCCUAGAGGUCGUGUGUUUGAUUCUGCAUCUCCGUGAUUUGUGAAUCUUGCAUCAUUUAAAUUCAGCCUUACACACUGAUGCCUUUGGUGCCGUCCCAAUAUUUAGGUAGCAAACUCGUAGUGGGUAGAGAUUCAGGCUUAAGCUUCCAGCCUGGCUCUGAGGAGAACUGUCUGGGGCUCCCUGCCCUCUUCCCCAUGGAUGAGACUCUUCCCAGCCUUGGGCAAACACAGCGGGGAGCUGGCACCAUCUCCCGCUAGACACCUCCUCCUUUUCCUCUUGCCCUUACCAUGACUCCCGAGUUAUUCUCAGAAGUAAAAGCUUUCCACGCCUGCUCUUCUCUCCUGCAGCCAGGAGUGCAAAUUUAGAUAUUGGAGCUGCUCAGGCAGAAAAAUGGCCCUGGAAUCAGGGAAGCAGAAACCUGCAGCUGCCACGAAAGGACCGCGGAGAUGAAGACCCGGAAGCUUGCAUGUGUUGAAGCCCGGGGUGUGGGGGACUGUGGUCACGUACUCGAGGGGGCUUCAGAGACCUCUGGGAAGCCCUUUCUGCCCACUCGAAGCCUGCCCCUGUGCCUGACAAUCUUCCAUCGGGAGCGAUGUCAUAAAGAAGAAAUGGAAUUCAGUGGGAAGAGUGGUGGACUCGGGGACAAAAGAUCUGGGUUUGCGCCCUGGCUCUGACCUAACUCACCAGCAUUAUUGGAGGCACGUUAGGUUCCCAUGAAAAGCAGCAUCCCAGUGAAGUCAAAGCCCUGGAACCAUCCUCUUCAUCUGUGUUGCUGCUGAGAGAUCAGAAGUCUACCUCUGGAGAUAGAAUCCUUGUCUGCUGCUGGGAUGGAGGGAAGUGCUAACAUUCCACUAGAAAGUGGGUUCUUCCAUGGAGGGACAGAAUUUGAUUCUUGCUGCUUAUACAAAGUAGGUGUUCACAAGGCACUUGUGAACAGCUAGCUCUGCAGAACAAGUCUCCAUCAUCUCGUUGCAGGCUGCUUACCUGCUGGGAGUGGCAUCCUGGGGCCUUCCUCUCUGGCCACCCUAGACUUUGGUUUUAAUUGCUCCUGAGUCUCCCUUCUUCCUGCCGGCUGGCCCUGCGGUCUGUCACCUACGGGACGGCCAACGUCAGAGCUGGGUGACCUUUCAAAGACACCAGGAUUUGUUUAAUUUUCAGAAUUCACCUCUCUUCAUCCUUUUUAUCAGAGGCAGUUAGGGCCCAGCUGGGGAGGCUAUUUGGCAUUUUUCCCUGUAUUUUGAAACAGGUGGGCUGGGGCCUUCUCAAGUGGAGUCUUUUCAACUGAGAGAACUAGAAAGACAGACAAUGAUAGAAUGGGGUGGGGGUGGAGUAGAAUUACCAAGAGAACCAAACAUACAUUAAGUUAUUUUAACACCUGACUCAUUUUCAUGAAAGUCUUCAUUACUGCAUCUUCUGUCUCCAAGGUUUUCUACACACAUAAUUGCAGCUUGUGUUUACAAAGUCAUUACCACAUGCCAAGCACGUCACAUGUCUCGCUUCAUGUAACCUUCACAGCAGCACCUUGAGGUUCUGUUAUCUCCGUUUUACAGUGCAGGACUCUUCUCAUAAGCAGUCUUUGUCAGCUCCUUGUUAACUGAUGCUGUGUCAGGUCUACUCUGCAGGCUGAGGCUCUCCCUGUCCAGUUCUACUUCCAUCUUUCAGACAUUCGAGGUAUGCUGGUAAGUAUUUAACAACCAGUUCUGAUUUAUCGCGUUUACCAAUUUCUGAGGUGUAAAUACUCCCAUCGUGACCAGUUGAGCUCCCCAUGUGACAUCACUGAACACAGUAGAGAAGUGAUACCAGCUCCAGCUUAGAGGAAUUGCCCUUGAUAGGCCGCUUUCCCUUUUAACACUUUGCAUGUUUUCUGGAAGACUCAACAGAUCUG
rnacentral:lncRNA from 1 species